UUGUGUUUUUUCUUUAUUUAAUGUUUAUGCAGAAAAUAUUUGGUCUUUGGCAGUACAGAUUGAAGUCUGAAGAGCUGCUGGAGCUGCCAAGUUUGCAUCUUAGAAGGAAGGACUCCAAGACCAACAGGGAACUCCUCAGCAACAGCUUCAGCUGCUCCCAAGUCCUGCAGGCUGGAUAGACCUUUAGACAAAGGAGAUACAGAUGUUCUCAAUGCAGAAGAAAAUGGAAACCCCAAAAUUGGAUCCUUUGUAUCUUGUCUUCAAGAACUUCUCUGCCACAGUAUUACUGAAACAGGGAGAUACCUCAUUGUCUAAUGUGCUGUUCUCCAUCAGCUUUUCUUCAACUAGAUAAAGUACAGCUAUUAUCUUGGAAAUUAGCCACGGUGUUGUUAGGGAGAACUAGGCUGAAGAAGUUUGAGGGAUCAGAAAUGCUUAUUAAAAAGUAAACUUAUACUGUCUUUGUAAGAUGACAAAAACAAGUUGAGGCUUUCUUAUCUGUGUCAGCCAUAGUUUUGAUGUCUUCUGUAAAUCAUUAUUUAAUCAGAGAACUUUAAAAUAGAAAAGCAAAGUAGACCAUUUGUCCCUGAUUUGUAUUGUUUGGUAGCUUACAAACUAGUCUGUAAAUUCUCAAGCAAGGGACUGCAAGGCUU
rnacentral:lncRNA from 1 species